rnacentral:rRNA from 1 species
AUUGAACGCUGGCGGCAUGCCUUACACAUGCAAGUCGAACGGCAGCAUGGAAGAGCUUGCUCUUCUGAUGGCGAGUGGCGAACGGGUGAGUAAAGCAUCGGAACGUACCGUGUAGUGGGGGAUAACGUAGCGAAAGUUACGCUAAUACCGCAUACGCACUGAGGUGGAAAGCAGGGGAUCGCAAGACCUUGCGCUAUACGAGCGGCCGAUGUCAGAUUAGCUAGUUGGUAGGGUAAAGGCCUACCAAGGCGACGAUCUGUAGCGGGUCUGAGAGGAUGAUCCGCCACACUGGGACUGAGACACGGCCCAGACUCCUACGGGAGGCAGCAGUGGGGAAUUUUGGACAAUGGGCGAAAGCCUGAUCCAGCCAUGCCGCGUGAGUGAAGAAGGCC